UAUUUUCCUUUCUCCCACUUUCCUGCUUCUCUGCAGAAAAGGAGAACAGUGGGUUUUGGAGUCUGAUUGAUUUCCUCGGCUAUUUUGAUAGCUCAAGGUAUUGGUAGAAAUCCCAACUAGAGGGCUGUAAGUCAAUACUGUAAAAUACUGAAGAAACACAUUGGUAAAUGGUAUUGAUGUUCAUAAAGAUAAUAGAAUAGACUGUGUGGUCUGCCAGGCAGGUAUGAAACAAACUGUGCCUUAGGCUGAUCACAAAACCGCACCUUAGACGCAUGGGUGGCUGCCAAAAAGGGAAGCUCAACCAUCCUUUGUCUCAGCAAGUGUUCCUGGCCACCUUGCCAGCAUCAACACCGAUAAAGUCAUGCGGGCAGCCAGCUGAUAUGAUAUAGCUAAAAUACUUCUUGGGGCCGUGUUUUUUGGCUGGCUUGGGCCCCCUGCUGCAGCUGAGCACCUAGCUCAGUGUAACCUGUGGUCAUGACAUGGGCAGCAACAGGAGUGCCUAAGUGGGCACAGGGAAAGAAGGCAAAGCAGGGCUUUUUGGUUGGGUUAGCAGCCUGUGGGAUUGGGCUUCUGUUACCCAAAGCUCCCACUCCUGUGAAUACUGAAUGUUUGAGUGAUCUGUUUUGUCUGUAGGCCCCACCAUAGCUUUGCUGAUGGCACUUCUACUGCAUGGGCAGUUCCCCAGACUGAGAGUCUUUCUCUGAAAGUGAAGAUAAAAAAAGCUAGCAUCUGGACCUCUCUGAUUACAAAGAUGGAGACAUUUUUACUUAUGUUUUACUACAAAGGAAGGCCAGAUUAGUGCACAACUGACAAAGGGAAGCCAUGCGUUUUGACAAGAGAACAAGGAAGAACAAGGAAUAACAAGGAAGAUGUGUGAAGGAAGCAAAGACCAUACCAGUUGUUGAUGUCUUCUGCAGAGCGGUCGCUCCUGGAACCAGUGUGUAGGUUGCUGUCCCAGACAUAGCCAAGCUUUGUCUUCUGUCUGUUUUUCUUCCAUUCUUUCGUCCCUUCCUCUUGCCCUCUCAGAAGCGUCCUGAAGUGAGAUCCAGUGGACACAGAUGUAGAACAGGGGAAGAAAGCUCACAAUGGCAAGGCGUUGAAGCAAGUGCUGUGUAGGCAGCAGAAGUCCUGAAAUGAUCAAGUAACUCCAGCUGUGUGAGACAGUUGAUGGUCUUAGAGAAUCCCAUCCAAGUAGCCAAAUGAUCCCUUUCUGGAGACUGGUUUGUGCUGCCUGAAAACUGUGGACUGGUUCUCUACUUCGAAUUCCUUACCAAGAACUUCAUUUUUCUUGGCAGGAUGAGAUGUCUGUCCCUGCUCUGGAGCUGUAGCACCAUGGCAUCCCUGCUGUCCACAGACCCUGUGUGGAGGAGUCACCCCGUGCUCCCUCUGCUGCCUCUCACAUCAAGGACCGAUUCAGCAGCUCUGACCAGGAAAGUGCCUGGUCCCAGCUGCCGUACACAGCUUAGCAGAGGCAGCGCAGAAGCUCCCCGGGCCGACAGCCCAGCUGCACAGAAGUGUACCCCAAGCCCGUCAUCUCCCCCCGCUGUGCAGUGGUGAUGACCACGAGGCUUCAGUGCCCCAGGACGGCUCACCUGUGCCCCUGCAAGAGCAGGGCUGUGCCUUACAAAGUCCAGACCAGUGCUGCACUGCUCUAAGAGCCCAGGGUCACACAGCACAAGAUUCAUGGCUCUGAUGACCAUCCCUGCUACUCAAGGCAAGAAGACACUAUGCAAAUGAUCCAGCGAGGUUCUCCGGAAGAGGUAGAGGAAUCGCACUGAAAUCUUUACUGGGUUAGAUACGUAGCCUCUAGACAAAGUUAACGAAAAAUGAACGUUCAUAACCUCUGCCACUUCGGAUCAUCUCUUAAAAAUGUCACUUUACGCAGAAAAGCCAGAGGUGGUGUCACUUACCCCUGAGAGUCCUCGGUGUCGCUCUUCGUGUAUUGGUCUCGAAGGGUCCUGGCCAAGAAGAAGAUGACAGCAGAUGCCACAAGAAGGAACCCUGCCACAGAAGCAAUGGCGAUACCCACAACCAGUGGUUCAGACACGUACUCCUCACAGUGCUCCCCUCUGUACCACCAGUUCUCUCCUACACGACACCUGCAAAAAGGAAACACUGGGAAAUCAGACACCGGCAAAAACUCUGACUUCAGUUAACAUAGAUGUAUUUAAUUUCGUCUUAUGACAGUGCCUCAGUUAUCUUAAAAAACAUAUUUGUAUGUUUAAGCACUAACAUUUUGUUAUUAUUACUAUUGUGAACAGCCUUUUUUGUUACUGAGGAUUUUAGUGAAGAGAGGUAGAACAAAAAGGAUAAAGCGUUAGUGAUGGCAAAAAGCCUCUAUUUUUUUGCUAUUUAGAGUAUCCUGCAAUGUGUUAAAACUGUAAGGUGUUUAGGCCAAGUAAAAAGUUAGGCAGUGAUAGAGCCUUGCACAUGAUGUAGCAAACACUGUAAAUGUAGUCUUAAUGAUAUUGUAAUGCAAAUACACAU